AUCCCUUCAAGCAAAAGUUAAAUUAAAUCGUGGAUCUUUCAAAAUCAACAACAAUGUCGACCUGAGGAUCGUUUGAGACACAAAAGCCUAUCAAACAAACAAAAAUAUGAUAAACAUAGUAAGUGUUCCGAAACAUAAACAGAAAGAGAAAGAAAUCAAAUCACGAAGCAGGCACAUUCAGUUGCCAGAUUCUCACGCACCAUCAAGAUUAAAACUUGAGAAUUAUGAAACAAUCUAAAGGUAUAUCAUAAUUCAAUCAAGACGAUGACGUCUACUCCCCGUACAAACAUCUUCGAUCGGGAUUCUUCACCAAUAAAUGAAUCGGAGAUCUUCUGAUAAGCACCUCUUAAAGCGCUUCAAAAUGAUAGCCGAUUUUGGAAAGAUGAAAAAAACUUUUGUUCGAGAGUACCUGUAUCAAUUUAAUCAUCUGUCGUACAUAUAAAGCAUCAAAUAGCAGAACGCUUCUCCCACACCGCCGAUUUAACUCUACUGCACUGUAGAUCAUCAGUUACUUAGUCCAGCAACCAAAGAGAGAAAAUUAAAAUGGGAUCGAGAGCGGAAACCACAUAACUGAAGUACGAUGACUGACUGUGAUGAAGAAAACUGGAAACUGGAAACAAUAGACGAAGAAGAGAUCAUAGAGGUGAAGAGGAAAGGUCAAUCCAAAUUAAAAUUUUUUUUAGACUUUUCGUUUUUUUUUUUUACAAUUAGAGUGACACGUGUCGCUUUUUUCGGUGAUGACGUGGUAGUAGGAUGGAGAAAGUUUUUUCUCUAGAGCAUCUAGAGAAGAAAC
rnacentral:lncRNA from 1 species